CAGGGAGACAACAAAAUGUUUAAUAUUAUUAUUUUGUCACCUUAGGUCGAUCGGUAUCUUACAUUCUUAAUUUAUUAAGGAUUUCAUUUCCUAAGUUUUUCUAGGUCACACCCAUUAUUUUUCCUGGGCCAUUAGCUCAGGUGGUUAGAGCGCACCCCUGAUAAGGGUGAGGUCCCUGGUUCAAGUCCAGGAUGGCCCAUAUCUCUAUGUUGGGGGUAUAGCUCAGUUGGUAGAGCGCCUGCUUUGCAAGCAGGAUGUCAGCGGUUCGAGUCCGCUUACCUCCACUGAUUACCACCUCUUCCAUAAUCUUAUGAAGGAAAUGUUUUGAGUUGUGAUCAAAUUCUGAACGAUUCUAGCUUCCUAAUGAAUUCAUUAAGAUGCUGGACUCAUUGAAUUAAUUUCAUUGUUUUCAGAGAACCUUGACAACUGCAUAGAUUAUUUUUAAAGACAAUAAGCAUCUUUAAUGAUGCAGAUUUAUUAUUUGUGCGAAUGCAUUAAAUAACAAUUCUAUUAAGCUGAUGCUUCAAUUAUUGAAGUUAUU
rnacentral:tRNA from 1 species